UUCAACUGCGCAAUGGACUCUGUGGGCAUGUGUAUUGGUUGGAAAAGUGGCAAUGGACACGUAUAGCAGGAACAAAAAGGAAAUAUAUGGACACGUGUAGCAAGAGGCAAGGUUGAAUCCAGAAUAUAGUAGUAGUUUUACUCCCAUGUCGCACGCAGCGCUUCAUCUGCUAAAGUUUUGGGUAGCCAUGUUAAGACAUGAGGGGCCUUACAUUAUAAGUGUCCUUCACUUUAUAAUGAAGUCAAGAGCUUUCUGGCACAUGUGCGGCUGAGAACUGCCGGCGCUGGGUGCAUCUGCUCUCAGUCACACUUCAUGGGUCACUUCAUCAUGGACUUUCUCAGCGAGAAAAAGCAGUUCACGCCUCCUGAGGGGCUGGGCACCAAGUUUGCAGUACAUGAAGUGACACGCUUCAUCGUGGACUGCCUGAUGGCGGCCGGUGCCUCACGGGAGGUUGCAGCGGCCCACGCCGAAGUCAUGGUAGCUGCUGACGUCCGUGGCCACUACAGUCACGGUCUUCAAAGAAUAGAUCUUUACGUGACUGAGUUGCGCCAUGGUGUUACUGACGGGCGCGUCACGCCAACCAUCGUGCGUGAGUCUGCCUCCUCAGCGCUGGUGGAUGGGAAUAACGGCUUUGGCAGCGUUGUGGGGAACUUUUGUAUGGAUCUGGCCAUUGAGAAGGCUUGGAAAACGGGCAUAGCUUGCGUCUGUGCUAAAGGAAGCAACCAUUAUGGCAUUGCCGGUUGGUACUCCAUUCGAGCCGCUAAGCAGGGCCUUAUUGGCUUCAGCUUCACUAAUGCCUUCCCAGGUGUCCUCGGAACACGUGCCAAGAAGGCUGCCUUUGGCACCAACCCAAUAGCUGUGGCAGCCCCAGGGAAGAAUAACGAUAACUUUGAGUUGGACAUGGCCACCAGUGUAGUAGCCAGUGGUAAGGUUGAAGUGGCUCAUCUCAAGGAGGAGUCCAUCCCUUUGGGUUGGCUAAUGGAUGAAAAUGGGAAACUUACCUCAGAUCCAUCUGGCAUAACAGGCGAUGCCAUUCUGAUGCCCCUUGGAGGAACAGAGGAGCAUUCGGGCUAUAAGGGCACAGGCCUGGGCAUGAUGGUAGAGAUCUUGUGUGGCAUUUUAUCAGGAGGAGACUAUGCCCAUAACAUCCGUGACUGGAAGACAUUUAACCGGCCAGCCAACUUGAGUCAUUGCUUCAUCGCCAUCAACCCAGCACUGUACGCUCCAGGCUUUGAGGACCGCAUGAGCGACUUGAUGGAUUCCUGCCGCAGCAUGGAACCAGCUGAUCCCAGCAAGCCAGUGCUGGUGGCUGGGGACCCUGAGCGAGCCCACAGUAAGGUAGUGAUGGAUGAGGGGGGUAUUACCUACCACCCCAACCAGGCCAAGCAGUGUUGGCAAACAGCCAAGCUGCUUAGUGUUGCUCCAAUGACUCCUGUGUGAGAAAAGGACAAGCCAGUGUCUAUAAGUGAAAGUUGGUCUGUGGAAGAUGAGAUGAUAACAUCAUGAUGCUUAACCAUGGUGAAGUGGAUCUGCAAUGUCUCGCAAAGGGACAGCAGAAUCACCACCUUCAGUCUGUGCCCUUUCUUCAUUAAAUGAAAGCUUGUGUUCCCUUACCCAGACGGUUGAGGCCAUGGCUGUAGUGGCCACGGCGGUCAGCUGCAACAAGCACAUCUGCCAGGGCAGCUGCAUGGGCCUGAGGGGUGCCAACAGCUGUCAUGCAGUCCACCAUGUAACGGUGGACUUCCUCCACCCUGUACUGUAAAUGAAACAGUGAGCUAUAUUUAGACAUGUGGCAAAGGAGGUGGGCAGCGGAAAGGGAAGUGACUCCGUGAUUAAGUCAAGAACCGCAUCGCCAACUACAGUCUGCUUUCAGAAGGAUGCACAUUUCAAGAAGGAUACACACUGAGAGAAAAGCAGCUAGCCAUGUGCUCCUGCAAGAUCGUGAAGUUACAAGCCUGUAACUUUACCUACAUUUCCUACAUUUUAAGUAAAAUGUAUCUCCUACCAUGCAGUUUCUUGAGAGAAGGAAUGCCUGGAUCAAAGACGGAGGAAUCACUGUCCUCAGAAUCCCCAUCAGUUGUAGUGGAGAUUUCACUAUGUAUGCUGAAGUUCUCUCUCAGUGCAGGAGUCUGAUCUGCGGUGCUUGAGAUGUAAAUAUUUUCAUUCUUUAUUGAAAUACACAUGUUUGGGUCUAAGGUCUUUACUGCUGUAGCCGAAGCCCUGAGAGCCGCUAACCUUAUUUUAGGCCACGUGUAGCUGACCUUCUCCUUGGCUGACCAGAUCAUUGGCUGCCAGAGAAACAUUUUAUCCAGCCACGUCCCACUAUGGAGCCACGUCACCAGCGCAGCAAUCUGGUCCACCAGUUUAAAGCGCUGGACGUGCAGGAUCUGAAGAAUGAUGCAUUAAAGAGGGGACGCUCCCACUUGAGGGCAGAGUUACAGCUGCCACCUUGCGAGAUAUUUGGCAUAUGGUGAAAUGAUGUCCAGAGAGAUAAUUAAGAGCAACUAUCCACUGGUUUCUGAUAGGUGUGAUGCUCUCACCAUCAGGGUUCCCAGGUAUUAUGAACAGCACUUUAUCAGCUCUGAGGAUGUGAUCUCUUGUCCAACAGUUUGGAUCCUAUGGGUAAAUUGCUUGUGUACAGUACAGAUUGCAUAUAAAUGUACAUAUUGCAUAAUAAACUGCAGCAGUGUACUUGCACAUAAUGUAUCUCUCUAACCUCAAUCCCCACAUCACGAUCCACCAAGUAUGGGAAGAGAUGGCAGGUGUUCUUCAAGAAAUCAGCAAACAUGUUGAUGAAUUCCAUAUAUGGCUGGUUUUCUGCUAUAUAAACAAGAAGUACUGAUGGUUGGACUUCCUGCAAGGCCUGCAGUGUAUCUGGUGGUGGAAAAAAGCACCCUUAAUAAUAAGAAGCAAGCAAGCAAUUGUGAAAUCAGUUAGAAGAAAAAUCCAUCCAUGUAUUGGUAAGCUGAUAGAAGAAAAACACAACCAUGUAUUUUUAAGCUGAUAGAAAAAUAAAGAAUUUGUUACUCUA